GUUAAUACUUUAUAUUUUAGUGUUUUUAUAUAUGAAUAUUAUGAUUGUGUAAUAUUUAUACGCUGUUUAAUAGCCUUAUCGUCAUGUUCUUGUAUACAUCUGUGUAGAUUAAUCAAAUUUAAUGAAAUUACAGGACUCGAUUGAGAAGCUUCUCAUCUGAUUUACCUAAGAUCUUUCAGUGUGAUGGGCCUCGGCGACACAUUUUUCAGAGGCUUGGACUGGUGAUGGUGUCUUGUUUACAUUACGCUUUCCAAACUAUAUUUGAACACUGCUAAGUCAAUCAUAUUUGAAUUGUGCUUCACUUUAUAUUUGUGAUUGUCAUGUAUCCUCAAGAUGCCUCUGUAUCGUGGUGGCUGGUUUCUGUUCUGGAUCCGACCACAUCAUUGUGAUGGCUGAUUGCUAUGUUUUUGAGUAUUGGAUCGUUCCCAUCGAUUAACUUCUGUGAUGACGAAUCAGCGCAAAUAAAGUCACUUAUAUGUGAUCACGAGCAGCGCAAAUAAAGUUGUAUGUGGGGGCAUAAAUAACUGAACUGAAGAAUUGGUUCAUUAGAACAGCCCCAGAUCGCAGGUAACAAAAACAUUCUGGUUCCUACACUCGGAUAACUUGGUAGGGAACCAAACUGGAUACAAAGCAGCCUGGCCUGGGCGGUUGAUUGCUUGGCUGUAUACUUUUGGUCCUGGCAUAGUUCGCCAGUUGCAAAAUGCUCUGUAGUGUUCGUUCGGUUAGUCUGGAUUGGAUUGGAGGGCAGGAACCAUUCCAGCUACAAUGUAAUACAAAUGUGUGAACCAUUCUAACCCUAAACUAUUCUAGGCACUGGUUCCGGAGCAAUCAAGCGGGGCCUUCGGCAGCCUAGGAACUACUGUUCCAGGCCGAGAUUCAGUGCAUCCGGGUGUGUCACUCUUUCCAGGCAGAGAACUGUUCCAGGCCGGGAUUUAAAGGCCUGUUCGGCAGGCUAGGAUUGAAGAAGGCUGUUUUAUAAACACAGAACAUAUUUGAACAAUCUGACACUGCUGCUUUAUAAACGCAGUGAAUAAUCAACCAAUCUGACAGUCCAUCAUUCUUUCUACCAUAGGAUAGCAUGCUGCCGAGACAAUCUGGCAGUCUUGCUACCAAAAUAAGACAAUCAAGAAACAUAGAACAAUCUUGAUAGACUGACAUCUUCAACACAUGCGCUAAGAAGAAACAGAACAUAUGUGUUGCGAAGAAACAUCACUUUAGAACUAAGCAUAUCAUUUCAAAAUAAGAAACCUCAACAUAUGCUAAGCAUCACCGAUUAAUCACCCAAACCUGUCCAAACAAAUGGAACAAUCAGAUUGGAAGAUAAAGGCCCAAGUGAAUAUGGUUAAGUGGAAGGUAAAGACAUAAAUAUUAUACUCUUUCCGUUUUUUUAUUUGUCGCCAUUUAGUUUAAAAAUGAACUAGGGACGAUAAAUAUUCGAGAACGGAUGUUGUACAAUGCUAAACCAUCUCAUUUCAUAGCAGAGGCAAUCAACAUCUGUAGCUGGUGGCUCAGGACCUCGUAUGCACCUCAACCUGGCCAUGUAUCCAUUUCUACUGUGCAGUGCAGUAAGAAACAUAAAGAGGCAGAAUUCCGUUGCCAUUGUCAUGGCUAAAGGCUUAAAGUAAGACACUUCAUCUAAAUGCAAAGGCAGCUAGCAGGGCAUAUUGUAAAACCAGUAACGGUGACCAGUGUUUGGCGUCCGCCUUAGCAUUGGGGGGAGAGAUAAACGUGUCACUGAAUCUGAAUCUAUGCCUGUUUUUCUCAUGAACAAUGCUACUACUACUACUGCUGUUGCACUACUGCAUCAAUGAAGCAGUUCAGUAAACAAUGCUACGGCCGUGACGAGAAGCGCCGCCAGAACAUACACAGGUGCCUGAAAACACGUAAUCCACGGAGCAGAUGGUUUCUUGAAUCCAAUACUCUGCAGCACCAAGAUUUGUCUUCUUCUACAGAUCAAUACUCUGCAUACACAGCUGGCUGCAGCUUAACGCAAAGAGAUGCAAACUGGCGCAAACACUCUUUUACUUCCAAUUGGUUUUGGAAUAUGAGCUCCAAGCAAACUCAUCCCUCAAGCUUACUCACCUACAAAAAAAAUUCAAAGUACACCGUUGCAAUUACACAAAAUGAUGAGUAAUUCAGGGUCAUCUUGCUACAAAAAAGCAAAACUAGCAACAUAGAGCACGCACACUACUGAUUUACCCUUUCCUUUUUAAUUUUUUGACUGUACUUCAAACUGAUGGUCCCUUGAUUUUUUUGUAUCUUUUCCUGGUGCUACUGUCUUCUUGGUUAUCGUCUCUGUCCUACUACCUACCUAUCUCUGUUGAUGCAUCUCUAUGUCACUAUGUGAUUCUAACAACCAAGAUGCACACGUGCCCUCUGUUCAAUACACCACAAAAAGUUGAGUCAAUCCUAUUUUUCCCUGGUAAGAAGGUGCACUUGCAAUCUCAGAAAUGACGGUACAAAACCUCACAUAAUAAAAUUCCGUUUAUUUUUCUUCUCAUUUGCAGACACAGACACACCUUGAACCAAUGCUUCAGCUUUUCCUUGCUCCAAAACUAUCAGUACCUCUUACAUAAAAUCACAUGCUUCACUGUCAAUGCAACAAAUUAAAGGCCUAUUUGAAUCCCAUGAACUAAUUUAGCCACUUUGUGAGCUAAAAAUCCAAACAUAAAGAGCUAAAAGUAACUAAAAUGGUAAAAGAUAUUCUUUUAGUCAUUUUUAACUCUUUCUGUUUCAAUAUUUAGCUUCUAGAGUGACGAAACUUGCUCUAGCUCAAGGGAUCCAAACAUGCCCUAAGUAGUUGUGUUCUCAGCUUUUAGUGCAACGUGGUUAGAUUUGUCAGGAUUAUAUCUUCUUCUUCAAAUAGAACAAUCUUAUACACAUUAUUUACAUCAAUGUGUAUACAAAUUACAAUCAUUUCUAUCCAUGAUGUAGCGCAGGUAAAUGGGUUGAUCCCAGAUCCCACAUUGAUAGUCUUCUUAGUAUAAACUCAUGUAUGCGGACUGGCCCAACUCAGACAAGAGCGCGGCAACACCGCGCAUAUACAUGGAAUGAGAAGGGCUCAGCUACAGCCAAGCGAAUAAAUAUACUGUGAAUUAACCCUAACCUAACCGAAGCGUCCGCCUCCCACACACGGGACUCCGGCCGCGAGAACCCGCGACUAAGCCAGGACGCGGGACGCCACAGCCACCGGCCUCAGCAUCCGCCUAGGACGAAUAACCCUUCUAGGCUGCCGCCGCCGCCGUCCUUAGCUCAUAUUGUUGCCGGCGAAGAGCGCCCCAGGUAUUCCCAGCCCCUUCUCUUUCCUGUCCGCUGCGCAAAACUGAAUUCUCGAACUCUCAACCUCAAGUUAUUUGGCUACUUCUAACUUUUUGCAAAAAAUUAUCGGGUCCCUUUACUAGAUCCGCCCCUGCUAUGGAGUCGGCGGUGAACCCGAAGGCGUACCCGCUGGCUGAUGCGCAGCUGACGAUAGGUAUCAUCGAUAUCAUCCAGCAGGCCGCCAACUACAAGCAGCUCAAGAAGGGAGCUAACGAAGGUACCGUGCCAAUCCCUUGUGCACGUCUCCUGACCUGUACUCUGUUAAUUCUGGGCCUUUCUUACUCAACUCGAGUCUUUUGUGUUUGGCGUAGCGACGAAGACCCUGAACAGGGGGAUAUCGGAGUUCGUAGUGAUGGCGGCGGACACGGAGCCGCUCGAGAUCCUCCUCCACCUCCCCUUGCUAGCUGAGGAUAAGGUGCUUAUAAUUUGCCCUUUGUUUCACGUACACUAGUGCUGUGUGUGAUUAUUGUUUUGUUUUUGCCCUUUGUUGUAUUGUUAGUGAGAAUGAACGGUCCUUUGUUAACUGCUUAAGUUAUAGAGGAUUUCUUAGUUGCUUCGAAUGCAAUGAAGCCAAUCUUUUGAGUUAUGGAUGCUUGCAACAUUGUUGUCAGAUACUCAUUGUGUGUGACUCUGACAAAAAAAUAAUUACUUCAACUGUGUUUCUUAGUUAAUUUCUUAUUUAAUUAACUGUAAAUGGUACUCCCUGCGUUUGAAAAUAUAUUGCUCAAUUUGCAUUCCCUUCAAUCAACAAUUUUUCCAUUAGUAUAUAAUUCUUGUGCUGCAAGGUUGGUAUCAUUAGAUUCAUAUUCAAAACCUCUUUCUUAUGUUUAUACUUUUUGACAACACAAUAAUAUAUUUAUAGAGUAAUUGCUGGUUAAAUUCUGCCAUAACAAAAUGAAACAUACCUUUUUUUUAAAAAAAUGAGAGGGGUAUGAACCCUCAAUGCCUAGGAGUUGAAUUUCUUGUGAAUUUAGCGCUAGCAGGUUAUAUUUCGUUAUGUAACAGACAUGUAGUGACAAUUCAGCCUGGCAGUGCACUCCUGUUAGCUGAUUUAGCUUGUGUUUAUUAGUUCUACGUCCUUUUUUUUGUGCUCUCUUUAUUCUGCUUGGUUGAUGACAUGAACCACCUGUAUACAUCACUUCUGUUAGUAGACUUCUCAAUGAAUAUGGCAACAUUCACCAUUUUUUUUCGAACACGCAGGAGAACUGUGUAUCAUUAUAUUAAGAAGAAAGAAAGGUCUAAUAUAGACUGAUUACAAGCGCCUCAAAAGGCAGCCACACAUAACCAUACUUCCCAAGCUACACCCACAACCUUCUAAGAGCAGAAGCUCCAGAAAUACCCCAUAAGCUAGCAUCCCCAUGAAUCUUCUGCAAAAGAGCGUUGAUGUUAGGGGAGGAUGCAUCAAACACACAAGCAUUUCUAUGUUUUCAAAUCCUUCAGGCAACAUCACCAUUGGCUAAUAAAUUUAUUCUAUGCUAUUUGCAGAACGUGCCAUAUGUAUUUGUUCCAUCGAAACAAGCUCUUGGCCGUGCUUGUGGUGUGACAAGGCCUGUCAUUGCUUGCUCAGUGACCAGCAAUGAGGGUAGCCAGCUGAAACAACAGAUACAGGGUCUCAAGGUACUUAGGGUGCGUUUGGUUGCAAUGACAGGACGGGAUGAGACGAGACGAUUCCUCAAAUAGGGUUGUUUGGUUCAGGGUCAGGGGUUGGGACAGGACUAUCCCAGUGUUGUCCCCAGUUAUCCCUCAAAAUUGGAGGGACGAGAGAGAACGCCAGGGGACGUCCCUGUCCUGGCUGUCCCGCAACCAAACACACCCUUAAUGUCCUGUCUUGUAGUAGUUGUUAAUACUUGAUAUGUUGCUAUUUUUAUAUAUGAAUAUUAUGAUUCUGUAAUAUUUAUAUGCUGUUUAAUAGUCAGUCUUAUCAUGUUCUUGUAUGCAUAUCUCUGUGGAUUAAACAAAUUUAAUGAAAUUGCAGGACUCGAUUGAGAAGCUUCUCAUCUGAUUUACCAAAGACCUUUCAGGGUGAUGGGCCUCAGCGACACAUUUUUCAGAGGCUUGGACUGGUGAUGGUGUCUUGUUUACUAG
rnacentral:lncRNA from 1 species